rnacentral:rRNA from 1 species
AGAGUGAACGCUGGCGGUAGGCCUAACACAUGCAAGUCGAACGGCAGCACAGUAGGAGCUUGCUCUUACGGGUGGCGAGUGGCGGACGGGUGAGGAAUACAUCGGAAUCUACCUUUUGGUGGGGGAUAACGUAGGGAAACUUACGCUAAUACCGCAUACGCCCUUCGGGGGAAAGCCGGGGACCAGCAAUGGCCUGGUGCUGAUAGAUGAGCCGAUGUCGGAUUAGCUAGUUGGUGAGGUAAUGGCUCACCAAGGCGACGAUCCGUAGCUGGUCUGAGAGGAUGAUCAGCCACACUGGAACUGAGACACGGUCCAGACUCCGUACGGGAGCAGCAGGUGGGGAA